rnacentral:rRNA from 1 species
CUCUCUGGGUGACGAGCGGCGGACGGGUGAGUAAUGUCUGGGAAACUGCCUGAUGGAGGGGGAUAACUACUGGAAACGGUAGCUAAUACCGCAUGACGUCGCAAGACCAAAGUGGGGGACCUUCGGGCCUCACGCCAUCGGAUGUGCCCAGAUGGGAUUAGCUAGUAGGUGAGGUAAUGGCUCACCUAGGCGACGAUCCCUAGCUGGUCUGAGAGGAUGACCAGCCACACUGGAACUGAGACACGGUCCAGACUCCUACGGGAGGCAGCAGUGGGGAAUAUUGCACAAUGGGCGCAAGCCUGAUGCAGCCAUGCCGCGUGUGUGAAGAAGGCCUUAGGGUUGUAAAGCACUUUCAGCGAGGAGGAAGGCGUUGCAGUUAAUAGCUGCAGCGAUUGACGUUACUCGCAGAAGAAGCACCGGCUAACUCCGUGCCAGCAGCCGCGGUAAUACGGAGGGUGCAAGCGUUAAUCGGAAUUACUGGGCGUAAAGCGCACGCAGGCGGUUUGUUAAGUCAGAUGUGAAAUCCCCGAGCUUAACUUGGGAACUGCAUUUGAAACUGGCAAGCUAGAGUCUUGUAGAGGGGGGUAGAAUUCCAGGUGUAGCGGUGAAAUGCGUAGAGAUCUGGAGGAAUACCGGUGGCU